rnacentral:miRNA from 1 species
CUACUUGAAGACUCUUCUUCU